AUUGAACGCUGGCGGCAGGCUUAACACAUGCAAGUCGAGCGAGCGGCGGACGGGUGAGUAAUGUCUGGGAAACUGCCUGAUGGAGGGGGAUAACGACUGGAAACGGUAGCUAAUACCGCAUACCCUCAGCAGUGCCCAGAGGGGAUUAGCUAGUAGGUGGGGUAAUGGCUCCCCUAGUCGACGAACCCUAGCUGGUCUGAGAGGCUGACCAGCCACACUGUAACUGAGCCCCGGUCGCUACUCCUACGUGAGGCAGCAGUGGGGAAUAUUGCACAAUGGGCCCUAGCCUGAUGCAGCCAUGCCGCGUGUGUGAAUAAGGCCUUCGUGUUGUAAAGCACUUUCAGCGAGGAGGCGUUACUCGCAGAAGAAGCACCGGCUAACUCCGUGCCAGCAGCCGCGGUAAUUC
rnacentral:rRNA from 1 species